UCGAGGAUCUUCGGCAAUGGGCGCAAGCCUGACCGAGCGACGCCGCGUGUGCGAUGAAGGCCUUCGGGUUGUAAAGCACUGUCGAGGGGGAGGAAAGCCCGCAAGGGUCUGACCUAUCCCUGGAGGAAGCACGGGCUAAGUUCGUGCCAGCAGCCGCGGUAAGACGAACCGUGCGAACGUUGUUCGGAUUCACUGGGCUUAAAGGGCGCGUAGGCGGGUUCUCAAGUCCGGGGUGAAAUCCUCUCGCUUAACGAGAGAACUGCCCCGGAUACUGGGGAUCUCGAGGGAGGUAGGGGCAUGUGGAACUUCCGGUGGAGCGGUGAAAUGCGUAGAUAUCGGAAGGAACGCCGGUGGCGAAAGCGACGUGCUGGACCUCUUCUGACGCUGAGGCGCGAAAGCCAGGGGAGCAAACGGGAUUAGAUACCCCCGUAGUCC
rnacentral:rRNA from 1 species